rnacentral:rRNA from 1 species
GACGAACCGAGCGAACGUUGUUCGGAAUCACUGGGCUUAAAGGGCGCGGAGGCGGGUGAUCAAGUCCGGGGUGAAAACCUCCAGCUCAACUGGAGAACUGCCUCGGAGACUGGUUGCCUCGAGGAAGGUAGGGGUGUGUGGAACGUUCAGUGGAGCGGUGAAAUGCAUUGAUAUUGAACGGAACUCCGGUGGCGAAGGCGACACACUGGACCUUUUCUGACGCUGAGGCGCGAAAGCUAGGGGAGCAAACGGG